rnacentral:rRNA from 1 species
GGAAUAUUGGACAAUGGGGGAAACCCUGAUCCAGCCAUGCCGCGUGUGUGAAGAAGGCUCUAGGGUUGUAAAGCACUUUCAGUGGGGAGGAAAAGUUGACGGCUAAUACCCGUCAACCUUGACGUUACCUGCAGAAGACGGACCGGCAAACUCCGUGCCAGCAGCCGCGGUAAUACGGAGGGUCCAAGCGUUAAUCGGAAUUACUGGGCGUAAAGCGCGCGUAGGCGGCUUGUUAAGCUGGAUGUGAAAUCCCCGGGCUCAACCUGGGAACUGCAUUCAGAACUGGCAGGCUAGAGUACAGUAGAGGGUGGUGGAAUUUCCUGUGUAGCGGUGAAAUGCGUAGAUAUAGGAAGGAACAUCAGUGGCGAAGGCGGCCACCUGGACUGAUACUGACGCUGAGGUGCGAAAGCGUGGGGAGCAAAC